UACGAAGGGGGCGAGCGUUGUUCGGAUUUACUGGGCGUAAAGGGCGCGUAGGCGGCCUUGUCAGUCAGGCGUGAAAGCCCCGGGCUCAACCUGGGAACGGCGCUUGGGACGGCGAGGCUGGAGUUCGGGAGAGGAGAGUGGAAUUCCCAGUGUAGCGGUGAAAUGCGCAGAUAUCAGGAGGAACACCAAUGGCGAAGGCAGCACUCUGGGACGUGACUGACGCUGAGACGCGAAAGCGUGGGGAGCAAACAGU
rnacentral:rRNA from 1 species